GACGAACGCUGGCGGCGUGCUUAAUACAUGCAAGUCGAACGGAAGGGCCCUGCUCGCAGGUCACUGGAGUUGCCAACGGGUGAGUAACACGUGGGUGGUCUGCCUUGCUCUUCGGCUUAAGCCAGGUAAACUGGCCCUAAUACCGGAUAGGAGCUAUUUUUAGUGGGAUGGUUGAAAAGUUUUGUCGGUUCAGGUUGAGAUCGAGGCCUAUAAGCUCGUUGGUGGGGUAAUGGCCUACGAAGGCGGCGACGGGUAGCCGGCCUGAGAGGGUGGACCGCCACAUUGGGCCUGAGGUGCGACCCAGAGGCCUACGGGCGGCAGGAGUGGGGAAUAGAGCGAAAAGCGCGCAAGCCUGAUGCAGCGACGCCGCGUGGGAGAUGACGGCCUUCGGGUAGUAAAAUCCUUUCGCUAGAGACGAAGCUUUUGUGACGGUACCUAGCUAAGAAGCACCGGCUAACUACGU
rnacentral:rRNA from 1 species